AUACUUGCAGCCGUGGAAGGUACACACUCCCACCAACGAGUGUCGGGGUGUGUCGCAAGAGGGAACCCGGUGCGAAUCCGGGACUGCCCCGCAGCGGUAUGUGGGAACGAGCGUCACCAAGAACACUGGUGAUCCGACCGGGAAGGUCGGAAACCGGGAAGUGGUGACCACUAGGACAACCGGCGUCGACGCCGGGAGCGCCCACGAGUCCGAAGACCUGCCUCCACCCGGCGGCGCAC
rnacentral:ncRNA from 2 species